rnacentral:lncRNA from 1 species
UGAUAACAGUUUCUGAUUGUGCUUUUGUGCCCAUGUUCAUUGGCUAAAGAGGAAGAAAAGACAAAACAAGAGAUCUGAACAUCUCUAGCUCACAAGAUAAUUAUAUUUAUUACUCUGUCAUGAUAAAACAACACUCUGAGAACACAGUGGUUUUGUAUUUGUUUACAUAGUGAGUCAUUCUCUCAGUGUCUUGUCAUUACUGGGUGCUAGUAAAACUGUGUCUGGGUGCUCAGAGUAAAAUGAGACCCAGCAAGGAUCUCUAUUAGAAGACGAUUCACCAUGACCAGAUCCAAGGCAAUCUUCUACUGAUAACUGCACUUUUAAAGGCAAAAUAUUAUUUUCCAAGUUUAUUUGAGGGAAGCAACAGACCUUAUUAGGUAUCUUCAUCUGGAGUCUUAGGUGAAAAGAUCAGUUUUCCAUCAAUGAGAAGAAAUCCCUUUCCCAGGUGGAUAUUAUAUCCACAUGCACAUCCUGAGGAAGAGGCUUUGGAUAAGUCUGCCUGAACCAGUGCUGCCAAGAGUGGAAGGGAUGGGAGAAGAUGCUUCUCCAAAGGAAGUAAUGCCUCAUUUCAGCUACUUACCUCUGCACUCUCAAGCCCUUGCUGUCCAUCAUUCCUCCUGUUGUUGGGUCACCUUUCCCCUCCAUGGUGCUUUCUUGGAUGGAUCCUUCAAGACCACUCUGUCUGCCUCCCGUCUGCAGGGUCCACAUGUGGCCCAACUGGAUAUGCUUUGCUAGACUUUCUCAUCCCAUGUCUCCUCUCUGCUGUUGGUGGAAAAGACUUCUUAAAGCAAGUAUCAAAUGUCGUUUGCUAUGUCCCUCAUCGUCCCAGCAACACGCAUCAAGCUGUUUAAAUGGUCACUUGUUUUGAUUAGCUAGAAUACUUGUCAUCUAAUCUUUUUUCCUCUUGGUUGAUGAGGCAUGGCACUCUGGAGAAUUAAUUACAGAGAAAUCUUUCUGUUGUUAGAAGUCAUUUCAGCCUUUGGCUGCAAAGAAUUGUUUUCUGAUCAUAGACUCUGCUCCUUAAUCCUACCACAGAGAUGAUCUGGCUGAAACAGAUUGUCCUUUGCUUGUGACCAGAAACAAGCAUAUUUUUUUAUUUUGAAUGGCACCAGUGCUGGAUUUCAACCAGAGCCUCUGCUGACACCCCAAGAGCACCCCUUCUCUUUUUUUAGGCUUUUAGCUGGACAAAGCUUUACAUUUUAUCAGGGUUGUCAGUAAUCUACGGCAAGCAGCAGCAUGUUUUACUAGUGCUAAGAAGACUACAUAUCUGUUUGCAUAUGCUGCAUAAAAAAACUCUCCUAAAAGUUACAGCUUAACAAAACAACCAUGGGCUCAAAAUUCUGCAGAUCGCUUAUUUGGACUGGGCUUCUCUGGGGGAUUUUUCUAGUUUGCUAGUCUUCUU